CGGGGCGUAGCGCAGUCUGGUAGCGCAUCUGGUUUGGGACCAGAGGGUCGUAGGUUCAAAUCCUAUCGCCCCGA
rnacentral:tRNA from 1 species